GGGAAAAUAGCUUAAUUGGUAAAGUGGAUUGCUUACAACAAUUUAGUUAAAGGUUCAAAUCCUUUUUUUCCUU
rnacentral:tRNA from 1 species